ensembl:snoRNA Small nucleolar RNA U83B
UGUGUGGUGAUGAGAACACGGAUCUAGCGCCAGGCAUGGCGUCCGAAAGGCAUGAGGAAACUUUUCCAUGCUGCCUUCCUUCUGACAGCACA